rnacentral:rRNA from 1 species
AUUGAACGCUGGCGGCAGGCCUAACACAUGCAAGUCGAGCGAGCGGCGGACGGGUGAGUAAUGUCUGGGAAACUGCCUGAUGGAGGGGGAUAACUACUGGAAACGGUAGCUAAUACCGCAUACCAUCGGAUGUGCCCAGAUGGGAUUAGCUAGUAGGGGGGGUAAAGGCUCACCUAGGCGACGCUCCCUAGCUGGUCUGAGAGGCUGAUCAGACAAACUGGAACUGAGACACGGUCCAGACUCCUACGGGAGGCAGCAGUGGGGAAGAUUGCACAAUGGGCGCAAGCCUGAUGCAGCCAUGCCGCGUGUAUGAAGAAGGCCUUCGGGUUGUAAAGUACUUGCAGCGGGGAGGCGUUACCCGCAGAAGAAGCACCGGCUAACUCCGUGCCAGCAGCCGCGGUAAUAC